rnacentral:rRNA from 1 species
UACGUAGGGUGCAAGCGUUAAUCGGAAUUACUGGGCGUAAAGCGUGCGCAGGCGGCUUUUGCAAGACAGAUGUGAAAUCCCCGGGCUUAACCUGGGAACUGCAUUUGUGACUGCAAGGCUGGAGUUUGGCAGAGGAGACUGGAAUUCCUGGUGUAGCAGUGAAAUGCGUAGAUAUCAGGAGGAAUACCGAUGGCGAAGGCAGGUCUCUGGGCUAUAACUGACGCUCAUGCACGAAAGCGUGGGGAGCAAACAGG